UGGGGAAUUUUGGACAAUGGGGGAAACCCUGAUCCAGCGAUGCCGCGUGAGUGAAGAAGGCCUUCGGGUUGUAAAGCUCUUUCACCUGGGACGAUAAUGACGGUACCAGGAAAAGAAGCCCCGGCUAACUACGUGCCAGCAGCCGCGGUAAGACGUAGGGGGCUAGCGUUGUUCGGAUUUACUGGGCGUAAAGGGUGUGUAGGUUGUAAAUCAAGUCAGGUGUGAAAGCCCUGGGCUUAACCCAGGAAUUGCGCUUGAUACUAGUUUACUAGAGGACGAGAGAGGGAAGUGGAAUUCCUAGUGUAGAGGUGAAAUUCGUAGAUAUUAGGAGGAACACCAGAGGCGAAGGCGGCUUCCUGGCUCGUUACUGACACUGAGGCACGAAAGCGUGGGGAGCAAACAGG
rnacentral:rRNA from 1 species